rnacentral:rRNA from 1 species
AUUGAACGAUGGCGGCAGGCCUAACACAUGCAAGUCGAGCGGAGCGGCGGAAGGGUGAGUAAUGCCUAGGAAUCAGCCUGGUAGUGGGGGAUAACGUCCGGAAACGGGCGCUAAUACCGCAUACUAUCAGAUGAGACUAGGUCGGAGUAGCUAGUGGGUGGGGUAAAGGCCUACCAAGGCGACGAUCCGUAACUGGUCUGAGAGGAUGAUCAGUCACCCUGGAACUGAGACACGGUCCAGACUCCUACGGUAGGCAGUAGUGGGGAAUAUUGGCUAAUGGGCGAAAGCCUGAUCCAGCCAUGCCGCGUGUGUGAAGAAGGUCUUCGGAUUGUAAAGCACUUUAAGUUGGGAGGCGUUACCACCAGAAUAAGCACCGGCUAACUUCGUGUCAGCCGCCGCGGUAAUAC